AGUGACUGAGGAUGCUAUUCGAUUUAUAUCUGAAAAUUGUGAUGGGGAUGCACGCGUUGCAUUGAACGCCUUAGAAAUCUCUGCUAUCACUGCAUCUGCCCGAACAAAUCCCAAUGAUAAUUUCUCUUUGGUGGCCAAUGUUACUUUGGAUGAUGCUAAGGAGACAUUUCAAUUCAAGCAUCUUGCUUAUGAUAAAGCAGGGGAAGAGCACUAUAAUCUGAUCAGUGCACUUCACAAGUCUAUGAGAGGAAGUGAUGCAGAUGCAUCCAUUUAUUGGUUGGCGCG
rnacentral:misc_RNA from 1 species